UUGGAUAGGUCUGGAUAGUUGGAUAGGUCUGGAUAGUUGGAUAGGUCUGGAUAGUUGGAUAGGUCUGGAUAGUUGGAUAGGUCUGGAUAGUUGGAUAGGUCUGGAUAGUUGGAUAGGUCUGGAUAGUUGGAUAGGUCUGGAUAGGUCUGGAUAGUUGGAUAGGGCUGGAUAGUUGGACAGGGCUGGAUAGGGCUGGAUAGUUGGACAAGGCUGGAUAGUUGGACAGGGCUGGAUAGUUGGACAGGGCUGAAUAGUUGGAUAGGUCUGGAUAGUUGGAUAGGUCUGGAUAGGGCUGGAUAGUUGGAUAGGUUUGGAUAGUUGGAUAGGUCUGGAUAGUUGGAUAGGUCUGGAUAGGUGGAUAGGUCUGGAUAGUUGGAUAGGUCUGGAUAGUUGGAUAGGUCUGGAUAGUUGGAUAGGUCUGGAUAGUUGGAUAGGUCUGGAUAGGUGGAUAGGGCUGGAUAGUUGGAUAGGGCUGGAUAGUUGGAUAGGGCUGGAUAGUUGGAUAGGUCUGG
ensembl:lncRNA